rnacentral:rRNA from 1 species
GAUGAACGCUGGCGGCGUGCCUAAUACAUGCAAGUCGAGCGAAUGGAUUAAGAGCUUGCUCUUAUGAAGUUAGCGGCGGACGGGUGAGUAACACGUGGGUAACCUGCCCAUAAGACUGGGAUAACUCCGGGAAACCGGGGCUAAUACCGGAUAACAUUUUGAACCGCAUGGUUCGAAAUUGAAAGGCGGCUUCGGCUGUCACUUAUGGAUGGACCCGGGGCGCAUUAGCUAGUUGGGGAGGUAACGGCUCACCAAGGCAACGAUGCGGAGCCGACCGGAGAGGGUGAUCGGACACACUGGGACUGAGACACGGCCCAGAAUCCUACGGGAGGCAGCAGUAGGGAAUCUUCCGCAAUGGACGAAAGUCUGACGGAGCAACGCCGCGUGAGUGAUGAAGGCUUUCGGGUCGUAAAACUCUGUUGUUAGGGAAGAACAAGUGCUAGUUGAAUAAGCUGGCACCUUGACGGUACCUAACCAGAAAGCCACGGCUAACUACGUGCCAGCCGCCGCAGUAA